UACGGAGGAUGCAAGCGUUAUCCGGAAUGAUUGGGCGUAAAGCGUCCGCAGGUGGCUAUGUAAGUCUGCUGUUAAAGAGCGAGGCUCAACCUCAUAAGAGCAGUGGAAACUACAUAGCUAGAGUGCGUUCGGGGCAGAGGGAAUUCCUGGUGUAGCGGUGAAAUGCGUAGAUAUCAGGAAGAACACCGGUGGCGAAAGCGCUCUGCUAGGCCGCAACUGACACUGAGGGACGAAAGCUAGGGGAGCGAAUGGG
rnacentral:rRNA from 1 species